CCAUGUGCUAACCGGUUUUUAUUUUAUUUUGAAUUUCCUUUUAUCUCCUCCGCUGACUUUGUCCGUUUCCCUUUCCCAUUUCUAGCAGCGAGAUCUUGGAGGCAGAGAGGGGAGAGCCAUGACGAUUUUGGCUGGUUAGCUUUGUUAGGCGUCCGGUCCUCCCCCACCCCCCCUGUUGCUUCUCCUUCAAGCGCGUUGAGGCAGAGGAGAAGUUGACGCAUGGUGAUUCGGCGGCGGUGUCUUAUCUGCUUCCAUUGAUUUCGUGAUGCUCCUUCUUUUGCUGUGGUGUUCUCCGAGCCUUGUGCCUCCCUUCUUCCCACAACGAGGUUGCAAGUCUCUUGCUCUUGACUCUACAAAGAAAGCAUCAAAUGAUUCGUCAGUUGGUAAAUCUGCUGUUGUACUUCCCUAUUGGUCUCGAUGGUCGCUGGUUUUCGUUUGUCGUGUGUAUCGAAGAUAGAGCUUUUAUGUUUCUUGACUCAGCGUUUGGAGAGAACUCAACGUAUCAUAGAGAUAUCUAUGAUGAGCUGGUGAUCUUUCUUGCAUGAUUGUGGUGUCUUCACUCUGAAGUAUAUGGAGAUCUUCACACCAAGAACUUAGAUGGCAAAUCUUUUCUCCAAUGUAUUCGAAAUCUUAGGAUCAAAUAUGUGAAUGACAUGUUUUUCAGCCCCUUGGACAGCUGUGACAAAUCUUUUGUCACUGCUUUCUUUGGCAAUGUAUGUUCUUAUUUUCCUUGUCCUCUAUUUCAUUUUCUUUUCUCCUUAUUAGCUUUUUUUUCUUUGCCUAUUCUGGUCUCUUUGAUUUUUUUUGUGUAGGGAGGCAAUGCCAAGUGAGGUUCAGCAUGUGCACAGUCCUAGCUCAAUUGGUGGAUGAGUUCCCCUUUUGAGUAGCAUAUAACAUAGAACCACUAGUGCAAAUCAUUUGGAUUAUUGGUGGAUUUACAAGGUCUUUUUAGUGGAUUUAAAGUGGCAUCUUUAAUGCAUCUUGCACUCUAAUUCUUAGUAGUUAAUCUUAGCAGUUUUUUCAGUGCAAACCAUUUGGAUUGUUGGUAGAUUUACAGUGCCAUUUU